UCGAGGAACCUGUGUUAAGAAUUCAAACUCAUUAAAGCCCCACACCAUACCCGUGAAUAUUUUGGAGCCGAGGAGAGUUUAUAUUAAAGAUUUCCACAAAAGAAAACAAGAAGAAAGGAUUUUAGCGACAAGCCUUUACUUUAGAAAAGCAGUUUUUAAUACCCCAGCUACUAAUCCCACGCCAAGGACCGCGCGGCGCGGAAACCCUGGCGAAUUUGAAAACAAACGUUGGUAAAGGCUGGGGGUGAAGGGCGGGGGUGGGGAAGGGAGAGCCGGGUAAGGGGGUUAGUAACUGACAGCUCGGCCUCGAAACGAGAAGCCUCAAGUAGGUCAGGCUGUGUCAACGGUUUGAAAUCCAGGGUCCACCCCAGUGGGCUUAAGGGAGUAGAGCAGCAGGAGGAGAUCGGCAGCGUAGCCCCACGCACCCCAUAUCCCAUUUACUUGUGACAAUGGAUCAUUAGACCCAGGGGCUCAAAACCCCCAACAGAGAACAAAACAGAGCUGAAGUAGGACGGAAGAACUGAUCCACCUCACCAGAAAAGGAGGAGCCUUGAGAAUAGACAGCAAAAGGGUAUAAAAGAGAACGUAUGGCCAUGGGGGUGGGUGGAAGUUGAGGGAGAAAGGGUUGGUCAAAGGCAGAACGCAUUUCUCUGCCAACCGCAACGCUGGGAUAUGCAUUCACAGUAAUAAGAGAAAUCGGGGGAAAGUUGCUAAGAGAACAAGAAACAGGGCCAGCAUCCCUCCUGGGCCCUGAUUGGUUGAAACACAUGACCAACCAGAUUCUGUGUAAGCUUGAUAAGCUUAUACCCAUGGACAAAUACUUGAGGCGGGCACAGUGGAACAUUUCUCUAGAAGCCUCCUACCGUCUUAAUGUGCAUGCUUUGCUAGAGGGAGAAACAAUCUUAACCUGACAAUAGCAAGGCCUCCGGGAUCCUAGCAGAUGAAAAUACCUUUGGAAACUUCCCCUUGCCUUUACCUCCCCCAACUCCCAAGUAUAUAAUCAGUCACUCCUCACAAUCCCAGGGUAGCUCUUUCUGUCCACGGGCCC